GGCUUAGGGAGCGUGUGCUUUGUUUCCUGAGUGGCCGGGCGGGACUCCACGGUUCGGAGCGAGGCGCUGCUGACCGGCAGACCGAUCAGCAGAAGUCCAGACGUGCAGAAAUAAGGCCCCGCAUGGAGCAUGGGGUCCCGCGGCAAAUGGCUACCCGGUGUGCUGGGCUUUGCACGGGAAAAUACUCCUGAAGAUUAAGGUCAAGGGAAGUGAAGUGACACGCUCGUUAUCACGAGGCUUGUAGGAUGAGAGAAGGAUCUAGUUUCUUUUUUUUAAUUCUUCUACAUACAAAUAUCCACUUUCCCUGGCACCAUUUAUAUAAGAAGAUGUGUUUUCUAUGGCAACUAGUGUGACUACUGGGAUUAAAGGACUCUGAUUUGUCUCAACAAGACGUAAAACUAGUCAUCACAACGGCCAACUGGGGACCAGUUGUUCAAAUGCCCAAGACCAUGGGAGGCAUUUCUCAUUUGGACUCCUACAUGCCUCUUACACACCUCAGGGAAUUUCCACCAGCCAGCAAGUGUUUCUUUGCAUGAAGGUGUUCCCUGGCAUGAGGAGUCUGCUGUGCUGCCUGCACAACAAAGCAGAUGUCGGGAAGAUGUAUGACCCAUGGAAAAUAGCUGGCAGGAUGGUGUAGAAAACCUUUAUUUGUGUGCCCCUUGAAUAGGACUACUUAUUCUGGUCCCUAGACUUUCCCCAGUGGAAUUAAGCCUCAGUCUUGGCAGUGGUAACUGACUUAUUAACACAUUGUUGGAUGCCUUUUCUCUUCCUGUUUUAUUUCCCCAUUUAAAAAACAAAACAAACUAUGGUCAGGUUGGAGAGAUGGCUCAGAGGUUAAGAGCACUGGCUGCUCUUCCAGAGGUCCUGAGUUCAA